UGAGUGAAGAAGGCCUUUGGGUUGUAAAGCUCUUUUGUAGGGGAAGAUAAUGACUGUACCCUAAGAAUAAGGUCCGGCUAACUUCGUGCCAGCAGCCGCGGUAAUACGAAGGGACCUAGCGUAGUUCGGAAUUACUGGGCGUAAAGCGCGCGUAGGCCGUUGAGUUAGUUAAUUGUGAAAUCCCAAAGCUUAACUUUGGAACUGCAAUUAAAACUGCUCGACUAGAGUUUGAUAGAGGAAAGCGGAAUACAUAGUGUAGAGGUGAAAUUCGUAGAUAUUAUGUAGAACACCAGUUGCGAAGGCGGCUUUCUGGGUCAACACUGACGCUGAGGCGCGAAAGUAUGGGUAGCAAAGAGGAUUAGAUACCCUCGUAGUCCAUACCAUAAACGAUGAUUGCUAGAUGUUGGAAAUUUAUUUUCAGUAUCGCGGCUAACGCAUUAAGCAAUCCGCCUGGGGAGUACGACCGCAAGGUUAAAACUCAAAUGAAUUGACGGGGACCCGCACAAGCGGUGGAGCAUGUGGUUUAAUUCGAAGAUACGCGCAGAAACUUUACAAGCCUUGACAUGUC
rnacentral:rRNA from 1 species